rnacentral:rRNA from 1 species
UACGUAGGGUGCGAGCGUUUGUCCGGAAUUAUUGGGCGUAAAGGGCUCGUAGGCGGUUUGUCGCGUCGGGGAGUGAAAACCUACAGCUUAACUGUGGGCUUGCUUUCGAUACGGGCAGACUAGAGGUAUGCAGGGGAGAACGGAAUUCCUGGUGUAGCGGUGAAAUGCGCAGAUAUCAGGAGGAACACCGGUGGCGAAGGCGGUUCUCUGGGCAUGAUCUGACGCUGAGGAGCGAAAGUGUGGGGAGCGAACAGG